UGCUGGAAUAGCUCAGGUAAAAAAGUCGAUCGCAGAAAAUGUUUACGUCUGUGUGUCGUAGGUUGAUUUUUAGAGCACCUCUUUGAAUGAGACAAAGACAGGCAGCUAUGUUACUAUGAAUGAUUAUGAGAGGACUGUCUUACUUGGCUGAGAGGUUGGCUUCAUGUCUUACAUCUUCAAAAAGUGUCACAAACACAGGGUGACAUGCUAACAGACAGCAAGUUUGGUCAGUCUCAAGGGCACCUCUAUCAAGUGACCCCUCCUCAUUUAGUGUGGUUCCUAUAUAAAACAGAAUUUUUAAUAAUCAGUUAGGAAUGAAAGCACUGAUCAUAAAUACAUUAAGACGGACAAUAUUUUUCCUAUACUGACAGUAAUGAUGAACUGCCUUUAAACUCUGUUACGGGGAUGGGCAUUUCUGAUAACCUGUUCAGUGCAUAAAGCAUAAUACUAAGCUGAGUGGUCAAUAUAUACAAAUACAAAUAAUGUUCCUAUAUGAGCCUAUAAUAAAAACAAAUGAUGUUUAA